UCGAGAAUCUUUCGCAAUGGGCGAAUGCCUGACGAAGCGACACUGUGUGAGUGAUGAAGGCUUUCGGGUUGUAAAACUCUUUCGCACGGGAACAAGAGAUGCCGAUGAAUAAUCGGCAAAUUUGAGGGUACUGUGUAAAGAAGCGCCGGCUAACUCCGUGCCAGCAGCUGCGGUAAUACGGAGGGCGCAAGCAUUAAUCGGAUUUAUUGGGCGUAAAGAGCGCGUAGGCGGAUGUGCAAGUCAGAUGUGAAAUUCCGGGGCUCAACUCCGGCGCUGCAUUUGAAACUACACAUCUAGAGGGAUGGCGGAGAAAAUGGAAUUCCACGUGAAGCAGUGAAAUGCGUAGAUAUGUGGAGGAACACCGGUGGCGAAGGCGGUUUUCUAGCUUUCUCCUGACGCUGUGGCGCGAAAGCAAGGGGAGCAAACAGG
rnacentral:rRNA from 1 species